rnacentral:rRNA from 1 species
UACGAAGGGUGCAAGCGUUACUCGGAAUUACUGGGCGUAAAGCGUGCGUAGGUGGUUCGUUAAGUCUGAUGUGAAAGCCCUGGGCUCAACCUGGGAAUUGCAUUGGAUACUGGCGGGCUAGAGUGCGGUAGAGGAUGGCGGAAUUCCCGGUGUAGCAGUGAAAUGCGUAGAGAUCGGGAGGAACAUCCGUGGCGAAGGCGGCUAUCUGGGCUGGAACUGACGCUGAGGCGCGAAGGCUAGGGGAGCAAACAGG